rnacentral:rRNA from 1 species
GCGGCAAGACGGAAAGACCCCGUGAACCUUUACUAUAGCUUGACACUGAACAUUGAGCCUUGAUGUGUAGGAUAGGUGGGAGGCUUUGAAGUGUGGACGCCAGUCUGCAUGGAGCCGACCUUGAAAUACCACCCUUUAAUGUUUGAUGUUCUAACGUGGGCCCCUUACCGGGGUUGCGGACAGUGUCUGGUGGGUAGUUUGACUGGGGCGGUCUCCUCCUAAAGAGUAACGGAGGAGCACGAAGGUUGGCUAAUCCUGGUCGGACAUCAGGAGGUUAGUGCAAUGGCAUAAGCCAGCUUGACUGCGAGCGUGACGGCGCGAGCAGGUGCGAAAGCAGGUCAUAGUGAUCCGGUGGUUCUGAAUGGAAGGGCCAUCGCUCAACGGAUAAAAGGUACUCCGGGGAUAACAGGCUGAUACCGCCCAAGAGUUCAUAUCGACGGCGGUGUUUGGCACCUCGAUGUCGGCUCAUCACAUCCUGGGGCUGAAGUAGGUCCCAAGGGUAUGGCUGUUCGCCAUUUAAAGUGGUACGCGAGCUGGGUUUAGAACGUCGUGAGACAGUUCGGUCCCUAUCUGCCGUGGGCGCUGGAGAACUGAGGGGGGCUGCUCCUAGUACGAGAGGACCGGAGUGGACGCAUCACUGGUGUUCGGGUUGUCAUGCCAAUGGCACUGCCCGGUAGCUAAAUGCGGAAGAGAUAAGUGCUGAAAGCAUCUAAGCACGAAACUUGCCCCGAGAUGAGUUCUCCCUGACUCCUUGAGAGUCCUGAAGGAACGUUGAAGACGACGACGUUGAUAGGCCGGGUGUGUAAGCGCAGCGAUGCGUUGAGCUAACCGGUACUAAUGAACCGUGAGGCUUAACCUUACAACGCCGAAG